GGAAGGAUGGUUUUGUGGGUAAAGCAUAUGAUUAGAGAUCAUAAGCUCUGGGUUCUAUUACUGGCUCUUCUC
rnacentral:tRNA from 1 species